rnacentral:rRNA from 1 species
UACGCAGGGUCCGAGCGUUGUCCGGAAUUACUGGGCGUAAAGCGCGCGCAGGCGGCCCGCGAGGUGUCACGUGAAAGCCCCGGGCUCAACCCGGGAGGGUCGUGGCAAACCGGCGGGCUUGAGGCCGGUAGAGGUGGGUGGAACUCCUGGUGGAGUGGUGAAAUGCGUAGAGGUCAGGAAGAACACCCGUGGCGAAGGCGGCCCACUGGGCCGGUACUGACGCUGAGGCGCGAAGGCGUGGGGAGCGAACGGG